UACGUAGGGAGCAAGCGUUGUUCGGAUUUACUGGGCGUAAAGGGCGCGUAGGCGGCGCGGUAAGUCAGGUGUGAAAUCUCGAGGCUCAACCUCGAAACUGCACUUGAUACUGCCUUGCUCGAGUACUGGAGAGGAGAUUGGAAUUUACGGUGUAGCAGUGAAAUGCGUAGAUAUCGUAAGGAAGACCAGUGGCGAAGGCGAAUCUCUGGACAGUUACUGACACUGAGGCCCGAAGGCCAGGGGAGCAAACGGG
rnacentral:rRNA from 1 species